UCUUUAUGUGUUCAUCAACCUCACUGAAGAAGGGAAAAAAUGAGAAAAAAACACUGAAAAGGAUGGUCAUUGCAAGUAGGAUGCAUAGCCAGGAGGCCACAUUUAGGUGUAAGCUGAUUACUGAUCUAAACUCACACAUGAAGAUGCGAAUAAGGAUAUGGUAAUUCUCUGCCCCAGCUCUGUCACUUCCUAAGUGACGAGGGUGAUGAAGUCACCGCUUCAGAAACAAUGGCAGUGAUGAAUGCCUCAGUAGGGAUUGGCCAAGCUUUAUCCUGCAUAUGCCAUAAAGGAAGCAUUGAGUAAAAUCAGGUAGCUUCGCUUAUGCAGAAGACUCAAUGGCCCCUAAACACUUGAACAUCUAAACCUGACUAGAAAAAGGGACAACGCACACAAAAACAUUCACGGCAUCUCCGUGAAAUCAUAUUUCACUCAAAGAUUGGAGAGGAGCAUGGCUCAUAUAUGAGGAAACAAUGCAACUUGGACGGAACAUUUUAGAACAUUCAGGUGAUACUUCUGUGUGACUACCUUGGGUGGUCCUGGAUUCAGAGUUUGUUUAGUCAUAUAGUGGCCAUGAGCUUCUCUUCUCCUAUAAGAAUGACUCUACAUGUUGCUUUAGGAGCAGAAGACAGCAUGAGUCAGUCACUUAGGAUUUCGCCUGGAAGUAGAAAAUCUGUUUGAGAUUUGGACUAAGAGCAAUUGAGUUAGAGAAGCUAGAAGUUCAACAAAAAUUUUCUGGUAACACA